UUAAAUGUAAAAAAGGAUAUUGGAGUAUUAAAUGAUAAAUCAUUAAAUUUAAAAGAUUUGGCGGUAUUUUAUUCAAGUUAGAGGAACUUGUGGUGUAAUCGAUGAUCCACGAAAAGAAUUACUUUAAAGAUUUUUUAUGUAUUGUUGUUUAUAGAUAUGUUAAUAAAAAUUUGUUUAAAUUUUUGAUUUAACGGAAAAUAAUUCAAAUCAAGGUGUAGAAUUUUAAAGAAUUUCAUGAGUUACAUUGAUAAAAAAUAAUUGGAAUUUUAAUUUUAAUAUUAAAAUGAAAUUGGAUUUAAGUGUAAAUUUAAUUAAUUAAUUAAAUUGAUAUUGUUUUAAAAUAUGU
rnacentral:rRNA from 1 species